rnacentral:rRNA from 1 species
UACAGAGGGUGCGAGCGUUAAUCGGAAUUACUGGGCGUAAAGCGUGCGCAGGCGGUUUUGUAAGUCUGUCGUGAAAUCCCCGGGCUUAACCUGGGAAUUGCGAUGGAGACUGCAAGGCUGGAGUUUGGCAGAGGGGGGUAGAAUUCCACGUGUAGCAGUGAAAUGCGCAGAUAUCGGGAGGAACACCAAUGGCGAAGGCAGCUUGCUGGGACGGUACUGACGCUGAGGCGCGAAAGCGUGGGGAGCAAACAGG